AAACGUCAUUCCGUUCGUUGGGUUUUGCCUAUUUUCACCACAGGUCGUCCACCCGCACUGCUGUCCCACCUCGCCCACGCUUUUGGGUUGUUCAUUUCACUACUGUUUGGCCCACCGACACAGUUCGAAUGCCGUUUUGGGGAUGAGAUUUGGAAGGAAGGGCGCUGCUGUCCGUUUGGUUCAAGUGAAGAGCAAGCAAGGAAUUGUUUGAAGGUUCCAAGUCAUCGUCCGUUGGGAUUAGAAUCUGUUUAAGAGGAGAUUUCAAAGUUAAAAUGUUGGGAGUGCUUAUGGAUCAAGUUUUGUUUAGGUAAGUUAAUUGGUGAUCGUUGGAUUAAAUGUGAUAUGUGUUGGUUUUGGCUUCAAAUAUUGAAUUAUGGUGUGUAGUUUUGUGCUAGGGGAUUUAAUUCGGAGCUUACUUUCGUUGGAGACUUUUUUCUUGGGUUGAUUUUGGAUUUGAUUUCGAGCUAAGUAAUCUUACUACUAGAAAUGUCCUAGUGCCAGACAAUGAUAACUAUGAUUUAUUGAGGAUUAUUGGGAUAACUAUGAUUUAUUGAGGAUUAUUGGGAUAACUAUAAUUUAUUGAGGAUUAUUGGUUAGCAUGAUGCUAUGUAUGCCUUCAUUGAUUGAGGUUUCAAAGGAUUGGAACCAAGUAUUGAUACUUAUGAUUUAUUAAGGAUUAUUAGUUAGCAUGAUGUUUAUGCAUGCCUUCAUUGAUGGAGGUUUGAAAGGACUAGAUGCGCAUAGAGAUAUAUGAAUGCUAGCACGAUUUGAGUAUAUUAUUAUUCUUGGAGAUUCUGUUAAAUCUGAGGAUGAUGAGAUGUAUAUGUAUGUUAUAGGACUAUGAUGACAAAACUUAUAUGUAUGUUAUAGAACUAUGAUGAUGAGAUGUAUAUGUAUGUUAUAGAACCAUGUUCUGAUACUUGUGAUGUAGAGAUCGUGAUAAUGUCCUCACUGAUUAGUUAGAUGCCUACUAGAGGUUGUGUGUCCUUCGAGAUUCACUAGAGGUGGUGCUUUCCUUUGAGAUUCACCAGAGGUUGUGUGUCCUUCGAGAUUCACUAGAGGUGGUGGUUUCCUUUGGGAUCCACCAGAGGUUGGGUGUCCAUCAAGAUUCACUAGAGGUGGUGGUUUCCUUCACGAUCCACCAAAGGUUGUGUUUCCUUUGGGAUUCACUAGAGGUGGUGCUUUCCUUUGGGAUUCACCAGAGGUUGUGUUUCCUUCGAGAUUCAUUAGAGGUGGUGCUUUCCUUUGGGAUUCACCAGAGUUGUGUUUUCUUCAUGAUCCACUAGAGGUGGUGUCUAGUAGAGGUAAUGGGUAUACUUAACUACAGUAGAAUCAAAAUAAGUUAUUAAUGUAUGAGUCCCAUGAGGACUAGAGGAGUUUACGUGUACCACCAGAGAUAGGCAUCUAGAGGACAAUGGAAGUUGAGUAUGUUGCUGCAAGUAAAGCAACAAAAGAAGCAGUACGACUCAGAAAGUUCCUGACUGACUUGGAAGUGGUUUCAAAUAUGCACCUGUUGCUCACUUUAUAUUGUGAUAACAGUGCAACAAUUGCAAACUCAAAGGAAUGUAGAACCCACCAACGUGGAAAACACAUCGAACAAAAGUACCAUCUCAUCAGGGAGAUUGUACACAGAGCAGACGUGAUUGUCAUGCAGAUAACCUCACAAGACAAUUUAGUUGAUCCAUUUAGAAAGGCCCUCUCGGCUAAAGUGUUCGAGGGUCACCUAGUCGGACUAAGACUACGAGAUACUUAGAAUUGGGGCAUGCGGGAGAAAUCAUGGGUAUUUGAUGCCCUAAUUUAUUGUAUCUAUUCUUUUUGUUUUCUCUCAUUGAACUCAAUACUGUAUAUAUUUAUCCAGUGGCGUUUUAGUCUAAGUGGGAGUUUGUUGGUUUGUAUGUCUUAAAACUCACAAUUUGUAGAUUUAAACAUUUUCUAUUAUCAAUAAAGAUGGUA